rnacentral:tmRNA from 1 species
GGGGGCGAAACGGCUUCGACGGGGAUAAAGAAACAAUGGUUGCAUACCGAGUUUCUGCUGACUCGUAAAAAAAGCGGAAAAUAAACAUAAUCGCAGACGAUUAUAACUACGCUGUAGCCGCUUAGGCUACCGUCCUGCCCGGUUACUCCCGCGGACCGGGUAAGGGCGUCGACUAGCGGGACCGCCAAACCUGACUGCCUGUAUAAGGUGCGGUUAAAUUUAACAGGAUAGUGGUUUAAGCAUCCUGCCUGAAGGAGCCUUGAGCCGCGAAAAUUAAAGUUCAGGCUAUGUAUGUAGACGCCUUUGUGGAAUAUUUUCGGACGCGGGUUCGACUCCCGCCGCCUCCACCA